CAUAACUUCUCACUCUGGUAGAAGUGAUGAAGAUGGCUUAAAAAAAGAGGAACCUUCGAGUCAGGAGGGAAGUGUCCAGACAUUUGCACCAGAGACGGUCACCACAGUGAAAGCUUAUGCUCAGAAAAUAAAACAUCACCGACGGUCCUGAUUAUAUUAUCUAAAUCUGUGUGGAAGUCAUCAGAUAUUGGUAUAGAUUUAGAAGAUACAUUGUUUGUUGUGGUAUUGAUUUUGUAGGCACUGCAAAUCAUGUUGAAAUGUUAAAUAAUGAGAACAAGACCAAUGCCUCAAAACACAAGCCCCUCCCUGAAGGCCAUCACUCCUCAGCUGUCAGAAGUCCAAGUGAGGAGGAUUUUCAAAGGUAAGAUGGCCAUUACAUUCCAGUCUCUAUCUAAACUAUAUGCAUUAAUCAUUCUCUCGCAAUAUCCCCAUUCAUUGUUCACUAAUUUGUGCUGUUUAUCCCUUCAUUAAUUGUGACAUGAAUUAUAGUCACUAUCCGUCAUCCUCAAAAACCUCAAGGUUUUCAAAACAAGGUAUGAAAGUGUGAAGUUUCUUCAAGGUUAAUUUCAAUCCAUUUAAUAAUGUCUUGAGUCCUUGAGACAUUUCGUACCCUGAAUGUCAUUAACAUCUUCAUUUUUUUUUCUCAUCAGGUUGAGGGCAAAAAUAUAAUUCCUCUUGGUGCCAUUAAUCGAGCUGGAUUUAUAUCCUGUGAUAUAGUCCUGCCAUCAGGUGAAAUUACAGGUAAAACUGGGGAGUGCAGUUGACUUCACGCUGGACAUCAUUGAAGAAAAUAUUAGCCAGCUCUCCGCGAGCAUCUUGUCACCCACGGGCAAUGAUGUACCCUGUUUGCUGAAAACACAACCUGACAGCCAUCUCGAUGACUUUAAUAUUUGGUCCCGUGAGGCCGGAGCAGGAACUCUGUCUGUCUCAUUGAGCUCCACUUUGACUAUCAGCUGGAUGCUUCUAGCACUGUGUCCUACACGUUUCAAGAGCCUGGUGGGUAAUUCCUGUAAUGCAGCAUAUGUAAUGUUGCAUGUUCACUAAAACUGUACACAAGACUUUCACAAAUAUCUGAUAAAGGUCAGAUACUUAAACUUUAAUUAUGUACGCUUUAGUAGAAUGACCAAAGAUAACUUAU